AGAAGACUGAGGGAAGAGUGGGGGAGAGAAGGUCAGCUAGCAAAGGAAACCUGGGAACUGAACCCGAACCUAUAGAAGAGAAAGAAGGACUUUUAACCACGAGUGAGCUCUCCAGUUUCGAUAUAUACUGUGGACGGGGACACAAACAGUAGAGGCCCAAUUUCUAGCUCUUAUCCCAAAGAGUCUAGUUUUAAAUUAAAUGACUUCCUGGUAGGAGGAAUGUGUAGGCAUGAGGGAAGGUAUACAAGGAACACUCGCCAAUGAGGGGAAAGUCCUUAGUAUUACAGUGACAUAUCAGGAGAGAACUGUCAUUUAAAAACUGAAUGUAAGUUAGCGUGUGUGGCUUUGGUCAUGUUAUUUUGUCACAGCCGUAGUAACCUAAGACAAUACUAUUGUUGAGGUAUUGAUGCCAGUUAAUGAAUAACAGAUGAAUAAAUUUUAAAUUAGGGUAAUUGGGUGCUUUCAGUUGUACAUGGUUAGCUAGUAUUAGUGUUCUUAAGUCUGCAUAAUCAUUUUCAGAAUUCACAGGCAAGGACAGGUGGUUGCCAUUUGUAUGUCCUGUGCCCAUCCCCAAUCUUGCGCUUUCAAAAGGAGGACCUUCAGUAUAAUGAGUCACCGCACCUCACAACUGAUGUCAGCAUUAAGGAAGGGCGUGGUUUUGUUGGAAGUUACAUUCUACAGCUGCAGGUUUCUCAGUUCUCAGUUCUCACGCUAGCUUCUGGGGUCCGUGGUAGGAGUGCUUGGAGUCACUCACAGGGAGCGCUCCUGCGGGGACCCGGCCGGGUGGAAAUCCUGCACUCGGGAGCCAGUGAGACGCGCGGCACACACCAUGGAACGAGCCGGCCCCAGCUCGGAACGGCCGAGGCAGCAGCGGGACCAGGACUGGGUGGAAGCGUGGCUGGAUGAUCACCGGGACUUUACCUUCUCUUACUUUGUUAGAAAAGCCACCAGGUAAGAAGAGGAGCCACAAAGGACGCGGCCAGGGACAUGGAGCGUGACCUAGGGCUGAUCUUUCUUCCCCCAUUGAAUUGUCCCCUUGGUUCAACAUUCAACAAUCCCUGUCCCCAGGCCCUUUGCUUCUGAAGUAGCUUCUCCGUCCCAGAUCGGACUGGAGUCCUGGACUUAAAGCGAGCACCCUUGAAAACAGGCGUCGGAUUAGAUACGACUUGCCCACUAAGUUAAAAACAAAAAUGUAUACCCGGCCCGGGAGCAAGAUUACUUUCACACACGCUCACGGGCCUCUCCCCUCAUCCCCCAGCCCCCUCUCAUUUUCUCCCUAAACCAGUUUAGCAAAACCAAAACAAGCCCCCUUUCCCAGCGGCUC
rnacentral:lncRNA from 1 species